CAGUUCGCCUUUUUGAAAUCUCUUUGGUUCGUCUUCGUUUACGCUUUCGGAAAAACGCAAUCUCAUUUUCUCUAAAUAAUCAUCUUUAUUUUUCAGAAGUUUGCAAGAAAAAUUUUAAAGCUCUUAGAGUCUCUGCUCUUUGAAAAGUUCUCAACUAUUUUGAAGCAUUUAAUUCAAGAUUCAUGGAAUUAAGGUUGAAGAACCCUAACCACAUUUUCUGUUUUACUUUGCUGAAUAUUUGAGAUCUUUUGAGGUUUUUGUGUGAGAUUCACUGUUUAGAAGCCACUUGCCGAACAUUUAUAACCAUUUGAAAGAACUUACAUGAGGAAGAACACAUUGUUCGACUAGGUUAUUGAAGCUGAGGAAGACGAAAACUGAACUUGGAUUCCAGUCUCUUGGAAGCAUAGUGGCAUUUCUGCCCACGGUGUCCAUAGCAACAAUUGGCCUCUAUAUUGCUUAUGCCCUAACAAGCUUCUUUACGGUGACCUUGGCACGAAAACAUUUUGUUCAAGGGCCUAACUCAAAGGAAAGCAUGCACAAGCUUCAGUCAGUCAGAUGUAGAAGGAGAAGUGAUGUAACUGGAUUCACAGUUGAUGGUGAAAUAUACUUGGCUUCAAGGAAGAAGAUGAAGAAAGCAAUUCGAAAGGCCUUGGAGAUGUCUAAUUAGUUGUAUUUUUCUAUAAAAGAAUGUGUACAUAGGCCUAACUUUUCUGUUCAUUUGGGACCGUGAAGAUAUGAAGACAGAGGAAUUAGAGAAGCUAGCAAAACUGGCAGAUUGGUGUAAGGAGCUAAAACUAUAGGAGGAUAAAAAGGCUGAAGCACCAUCACCAUGAAAAAAGCUUUAGAAUUAGAAUUCUUUGCCUCUCUGGGACGUAAAAUUCCCCUGCUCUAUACCUGAAUAAUCUUUUGCGGCAGAUUUGUGAUUUGGGUGG